CCAAAGGCUCUUUUCAGAGCCACUAGAAGUGGUUAAGUCACCGUC
rfam:Opisthocomus hoazin contig24002, whole genome shotgun sequence.